GAAACGGCUACCACAUCUAAGGAAGGCAGCAGGCGCGCAAAUUACCCAAUUCUAACAGUAUAAGAGAGGUAGUGACAAGAAAUAACAGUACAAGGCAGUUAAAAUGCUUUGUAAUUGGAAUGAUAGAAAUUUAAACACUUUUUAAAGUAUCAAUUGGAGGGCAAGUCUGGUGCCAGCAGCCGCGGUAAUUCCAGCUCCAAUAGCGUAUAUUAAAAUUGUUGCAGUUAAAAAGCUCGUAGUUGAAUUUCUGCUAAAAGUAACGGGUCUGCUUUUAUUAAUAAAAGUGGCAUCUUAGUAUGAUUUUAGCAAUAAUGUCCUUUGAAUUGUUUUUUACUUUAUUGUAUGAAGCACUAUUCAGGAUUUUUACUUUGAGAAAAUUAGAGUGUUUCAAGCAGGCUAACGUUUUGAAUACUACAGCAUGGAAUAAUAAAAUAGGAUUUUGGUUCUACAUUGUUGGUUUUAAGGACUAAAUUA
rnacentral:rRNA from 1 species